AGUGAACGCUGGCGGUAGGCCUAACACAUGCAAGUCGAACGGCAGCACAGUAAGAGCUUGCUCUUACGGGUGGCGAGUGGCGGACGGGUGAGGAAUACAUCGGAAUCUACUUUUUCGUGGGGGAUAACGUAGGGAAACUUACGCUAAUACCGCAUACGACCUACGGGUGAAAGCAGGGGAUCUUCGGACCUUGCGCGAUUGAAUGAGCCGAUGUCGGAUUAGCUAGUUGGCGGGGUAAAGGCCCACCAAGGCGACGAUCCGUAGCUGGUCUGAGAGGAUGAUCGGCCACACUGGAACUUAGACACGGUCCAGACUCCUACGGGAGGCAGCAGUGGGGAAUAUUAGACAAUGGGCGCAAGCCUGAUCCAGCCAUACCGCGUGUGUGAAGAAGGCCUUCGGGUUGUAAAGCCCUUUUGUUGGGAAAGAAAAGCAGCAGGUUAAGACCCCGCUGUUCUGACGGUACCCAAAGAAUAAGCACCGGCUAACUUCGUG
rnacentral:rRNA from 1 species